GUGAAUUCCCUGUGCUCAUUUAUGCUUGUUAGAGCAAUUAAGGAUUUUGGAUGUUUCACAAAAUCAGCUCUCUGGUCCACUACCCUCCUGUUUGGGCAAUCUUACUUUCAAGGUAAGUUCCCAGAAAGCAUUGGAAAAUCCUAAAAG